AUGUAUACCUGCAGCACAGCAGCCAUUCCUUCCAGUGGCUCACUUGUGGCUACCCAUGACUACUAUCCAGGAUGCCUGGACUCCUCGUCCAGCAACAACUCUGGCAGAAGUGCCAUGUACCCAGGGGACACCGUGCUCCACUCUCCCCUGGUCUUCCCAAGGCUGACCCUGGUCACUGGUAGGCCAGCUUCUUUUUCGGGAAAUCCACCCUCCCAUUCAUGGCCACAGUGUUGGAGUCGCCUGAGCACUCAGCAGAAUCUCCCCAGGCCUCCAGAAGCCCAAUCGCCUGUGGCUUGGCUCCUAAAACCAUGAAGAAGGAGCCAGUCAUCCAUCCUGGCCAGACCAACACCAGGGCCCAGUCCUGACCUGUUGGCAAAAGCAGCCUGCCCAAGUUUAAGUGGUGCUAGGCCAGAGCCCACCCUCUCAAUCCUCCCUGUAAACUAGGAAGGCUGAACAACAGACACCAGCAGAAGCUGGAGAGAGCUCCCUCUUGAUUCACAGCACAGUUUUCCUGACCCCAUAACUGUGUCUUGCACAAAGCAGAAAAUAAACUCACAGCAGCCUCUCCCCACCAACUCCCCCCCUAAAAAAUGCUAGAUCUCUGAGAAUCUCCUCACCAACCCUUCCAAAAUGCUAGGGCUCUGAGAAGAGCUGGGUGGUUGAUUGAUUGUUGGCUGCUGUUGGUCAUGGCUUUCUAAGAAGUUGUGUGCAAAGAAGAGACAACAACAACAAUAAGAAAUUAGACAUGCAGAUGGUGAAGAUCAAACUUGCCUUAAGAAAUUCAACACCCUUCUUCAACAGUAAGUAGUUUAAUGAUGACAUUGCCUCUUUUCCGACCCUUGACUUUUUUCAGGGAUCUCUUUCCUUUUGUCUUUAUCCCUUUUCUCUCUUAUCUAGUGUUAAGGGGCUGAAAGGGUGGAGAAAAGGGACGGAGAAGGGUGGAAGAAAGAAGAACCCACAAAAUAAAGGUAGCAAACUACAGGCUAGUCAUCUCGGCACUUAGGGGAUGGAGGUCGGAAGGUCCAGGGCUCAUGAUCAUCCUCAGCCACAGAGAAUUCGAGAGCAGCACGGACUUUACAAGACAGACGCAAAAACAGUAGCAGAAAGUCAAACAGAAAAGCAUAAGAUCAAUAUGCAAAAUCAAUUGCUUUUCUGUUAUCAAGAAACAAUUAGAAAUGAAUUUUAAGGGUGUCAUUUACAGCAUCAACAAGUGCAUAAGAUUCCCCAGGCGAACUAAAAGAUGUGCAGAGCUUCAAAAGUUGGUACCUUCUGUAGCCUUUGUCAUGGCUCCCUGGCUGUCUCUGAGGCUCUCACACACAGAGUAAUUCCCAUGACUCAUGGCCAUGAUUCAUGUGUAUGAGAGGCUCAGUGGCCUUUUAUUUCUCUCCUUUGCUUUUCUCCUAUGAAACUGAAGGAAUCCAUCAAAUUGUCCCUCUGUGUCACACAGGGAGUUGGUCCUGGACCACACUCUGAAAACUGCCAAACAGCUGUGAUAGUUUGAAUGCACUUGGCCCAGGGAGUGGCACUAUUAGAUGGUGUAGUCUUGUUGGAGUAGG